rnacentral:rRNA from 1 species
UAAGGAAUAUUGCGCAAUGGGCGACAGCCUGACGCAGCGACGCCGCGUGGGGGAUGAAGGUCUUCGGAUUGUAAACCCCUUUCGGCAGGGAAGAUGGAACGGGUAACCGUUCGGACGGUACCUGCAGAAGCAGCCACGGCUAACUUCGUGCCAGCAGCCGCGGUAAUACGAAGGUGGCAAGCGUUAUUCGGAUUUACUGGGCGUACAGGGAGCGUAGGCGGUUCGGUAAGCCCUCUGUGAAAUCUUCAGGCUUAACCUGGAAAAGUCGGAGGGGACUGCUGGGCUAGAGGACGGGAGAGGAGCGCGGAAUUCCCGGUGUAGCGGUGAAAUGCGUAGAGAUCGGGAGGAAGGCCGGUGGCGAAGGCGGCGCUCUGGAACGUUUCUGACGCUGAGGCUCGAAAGCGUGGGGAGCAAACAGGAUUAGAUACCCAGGUAGUCCCUGAGCGGGCUGGCAAGGCGCAU